rnacentral:rRNA from 1 species
CACGCGACCCCAGCUUCAGGCGGGGCCACCCGCUGAGUUUAAGCAUAUCAAUAAG